UCACCCGCAGAGAGGAGUCACCUGCAGAUUAGAAAGAGAUGAGAGCUGACAGAAUAAAGAGAGAGUGAGGGCCGCCAAUUUUGAUUCGGGGAGAGAUGGCUGUGCUUCGGGUGGUUGGGGGAGGACAGGGGGACUGACAUAUUGGAGAGAGAUGGGUGCUAGGGCUUUCGACUCAGUGAGAGAGAGAUUGAUCUAGGUCCUCUGCCAUAACCUAUGGGGUUUCCUCUGAUUUUAGAGAGAGAAAGAGAAUGAGGGGGAAGGCAUGGUUGUGUGCAGUUUGUGGGGUUAGCCGGUCAGGAAGGGGUGACUGAGGGAGGUAUGGGUGACUUUGAGGGACCGACAGAUUGGAGAGAGAUGGGAGCUAGAGAUUUUUUUAGGUGGUUUAGUUCAUCGGCAGUCUAUUGUUUUCCCUGGUAGAAAGGUCCAGGCUUGCUAUAUCCUCCGACUCACUCCACUCUGUCUCUGUCUUUGUGAUUCUGGGUUCUGUUCUGCCAUUUUUUCUUCUCAAAGAAACCUAAUUGCAGGAAAAUAAUUGCAGAAAUGGAAGGUACUUGCCACCAAGGCUGCAAUAAAAUCUGCACCCACAACUAGAGGAGUCAAGAACCCUAACCAUUACCACCCUGGAACCGUCGCUCCUUGAAGGGUUAGCGUUGGAGUUGGAAAUAAGUAGGACUUUGUAUGGAUUAUUCUCUCCCUUCCCUGCAUUAGAAGGUCAUCAGUGCCAUUUUGCCUCCAAAGUUUCCAAGCUAACUGAAUCACGUCCCUCAGGCCCGUUUCUCCUCCUUGACUCGCUGUGAAGAAGCUCAACUUCUCAGGGUUCGGUUUUUAUUGUUAGAACUUUCGUUUUUUACAUAUGUUUGUGAUUAAUGGUUUUCUUUUGAAAAAAUGCUAAUGGAAAAGUGAAUUUGAGUUAUGAUUUGUGAUUUUUAUUCGUUGCUUACUAAGAUUUUUGUCCAUUUUCUCCACCUCUCUCUCACAACGGAAUCACCAUCACCACCCAACAAACCCAAGAGGGGGAAUUUCGAUUACUAUUCUUGGAGGGAGGUGAACUAUAUGCAUGGUUUUUUGCGAUGAGUUAGGAAGAUCCACCUGAAAACAGCAUAGAAGAUAAAGAACUGGGGUUCUGAGCCAUACAUUUCAAUCAAGCCUUUGGUUCAAAAUUGAUGUUAUUGUGGAAGAUAAGACGAAUCAACACAAUUUCCUCAUAAUAGGAAGACAUGCAGAAAAAAUACUUCAUGUUUCUUGCCACACUUUGGUGAUGCAAGAAGGAUAUGAGGAUCCUUUUGUGGCGCCACCAAUUCUUACAAAUUUGGUGGGCCAAUCAAAGACAUUUCAAGUCUCUUUUGGAAAUCAGAACAUCAACUUCGGAAAGACAGAUUUCAUCGUUCACGGAUUGCUUGAAGAUAAACCACUGUCCAAGCCAGCAAACCCCUCAAUCAAACCACAAACACCCGCUCCCACCGCAGCAAAAACAAUUAUCAACCAAGUCACUCCAGCCCCAUUGACGCCUUCCCAACCAUUGGAUAACAACCCCGAUCAAUUGCAGCCGCUAAGACUUCAAAAACAACGUUGUUCCUUGAUCAACCAAACACAUCUGCCAGGUGGUUCUCAAUUGGAUUCCACAGUAAAACCCAGAAACUUAGAGUAAAAACCUUGAAACUUAAAGGCAUGAGGCACCUCCACGCCUCCCAAUCUGCCGACGUUAGAGCGCUCACCACAUGUUCGUCAUUAAUCCUCAAACAGUCGAACCCACUUCUCUCCGUCUCCGUAUGCGUUUGCACUGUCGCACAAUCUGUAUGUCGUUAGAAACUACUUGAGCAGCUGCGAUCUCAGAUUUUCAGUUUCUAAACAAUGAGAUGAUGCGAGUGUUCAAAGUGCUUUUAUCAUUAAGGAUUGUUUUGUUGCAAAAAGCAAGGCCAAUUUGUUUAGGGCUUGAAGAUUUCUACAUUCACCAGGUUUAUCUUCGACUCCAGGUACUUUGUUCCAUUAACAACUUAAAGUCAGUUGCAACCACAGAGUUUGGUUAUGAUUGGGUAAAAUAAGCUGAUUAUCUGCCUAUUUCAUGAGGAUAUCAAUGGGGACUAUCUACCCAAUCUUUUGUGUGUAAAUAGUAUGUAAAUACACAUCAAAUAUUAUCUUUUGUAUGUAAAUUUGUAAAAGAUGUGAAUAUUAGAACGAUGGCAAUAGAACUGCCAAUUCAUAUUGUUGUAAAUAGAUUUCUGUAUGUAUAUAAAUAGUAUUGCA